UACAGAGGGGGCAAGCGUUGUUCGGAAUUACUGGGCGUAAAGGGCGCGUAGGCGGCCUGCUAAGUCGAACGUGAAAUCCCCGGGCUCAACCCGGGAACUGCGUCCGAUACUGGUUGGCUUGAAUCCGGGAGAGGUAAGCGGAAUUCCUGGUGUAGCGGUGAAAUGCGUAGAUAUCAGGAGGAACACCGGUGGUGUAGACGGCUUACUGGACCACGACUGACACUGAGGCACGAAAGCGUGGGUAGCAAACAGG
rnacentral:rRNA from 1 species